CAGCAGCCCUUCAGCCUCCUCAGCCUCUCCCUGCACAGGGGGAGCUGAGGCAGCACAGCAAAUCCUGCCAGAGAGCUUUUCUCCAGGCUAAAGGAAGGGGUGAGGAGAUCACUUUGACUCAUGCCAGUUUGAAGCCUAAAGAGAUGUACUUCUUGAGCAGCGUGCUAUAGGAGACAGAAUCACUGGGAAAACAGGACGGCUCUAAGACCAUCACUGGGGAUCUGAGUCCCCCAGGACCGGAUGCUAUAAAGUUAAAUCACAGCAACAGAGUCCCUGCGCAGACAACUCUGAAGCUAAAUGCCAGAAGGAAUACAACAGAUGAGUCAUUCAAGCAGAGGAAGGAGGGAUAAGAAGAAAAGGCUGACUGGAUCUGAUAACAAAAAGGAUGAAGGUCAUAAGAAAGAAGCUUCUUUUGAUUAAGGAAGACAAUGAGUCAUGGUUGCCUCUUUGUAGCCCACUCUGAAUUUGUCUACAACCAGAAGAUGCAGACGAUGCCCACUUUUCUGAGGCGUCAUAAAUAAGUUUCCACCUUGGGCUAAACUUCUGGCUCUGAGUCUCUCGUGAAGCAUCUCUUGGGAGCUCUGCACUGGGUGGAGGGAAAGUAUCCAGCUCUCCAGCUCAGCAGUCAACCAUCAUAAUCAAGAAAUCCUCACUUCCAUCCCCAUAUUCUCUUUCUUAUCCAUCAUAUAACACCUAAUUGCUGCAACAAGCCACGCUCCUGGGCAGUGGAGCCCUUUCACUGCUCAGUCCUGAUUCAUCUGUGGAGCAGGUCCAGUACAGAGAUGCAAUAUGUGCAUGUAUUUGUACAAUCAGUGGCUGGAAGACCUCCAGGGCUAACAAAUAUCUGGAUCAUGGGAAGCUACUGCAUCAGGAAGAAGAUUACAAAGGCCAUUUCCAGCACUGUGGUUCUGCAUAGUAUCAACUACUGGAUGUACUUUGAAUGAAGCCUCUAAAGCUGAAUAAAGAGGGUAAAUUCCCUCCUUCUUUACUGGACCACCAUCUGGUACGAUAAAUGUCUCUUCCUACUCUUGUUAAAUGGAAAAUAUUUAUCUACCAAACACCUCCAAUUAAGCAUGACAGUGAAAAGAGGAAAGGAAAAUGUACACAUAAGACACAGAAGUAGCCUGGUUGCAUCUCAACAAGUUCUCCUUUAUCUGGAAGAAUACAAAACUUGCUCGAUACCACUGCAUAUCAGAAAUGCCUCGCUCCCACUUGUAAGACAUUGUCAUAACAAGAUGUAUCUACCCUGUUAGCUUUUACCAACUUCCAUUCACUAAGUAGUGGGAGAUGUAUAAAGGUCAAUUGGUAGCUGAGAUAAUUGAGUUUAAUCAUGAGCCACCUAAGUGAGGGAAGACAUUACCACCUGGCAUUAUAUAGUAAGCACAUUAAACUGACUCUUCUCUGGCCUAUAAAGGUCAUUGUGCAUUGUAUAGCAAAGGUUGUGCUGUGAAAAUGCUAAUUGAUUUUUAAUACUGGCUGCUGACUUUCCUGUAGAGGGUGUCAAGUGCCUCUUGGGAGUACUUACUGACACUCAUUCCAAAGUCAAUCAUCAUUGUCAUCCCAUGCCAGCAAAAACAAAUGGCUUUUUGAGGUCCUGUCCAGUAAAGCUGGGAAAGGACUAAGUGACUGUCCCUGAGUGACUGGACCACCUCUGUCCAGCUUGGG